AAAACCUGUUUCCUCUCUCUUUCAGAGGCUGCCGCCAAACCGGUUGAUGUGUGGGACACAGUCUCCCUGGCAUCCCUCGCUUCCUCCACACAAGCUCAUUGGCAGAGAGACUUCGUGCCAAACUGGGCAGAAUCCCCGAUGGCAGCAGUCACUCAAACAGAGGAAAUGUCACAUCAUGAACUUCCUGGAGCAGCAGGUUAUAUGGCCCUGUGUAUUCAGCUUCAACUCUGGAGGGAAUCAAGCAUUUAUGGUUACAGGAAUAUUAUCAGCGAACGGGGAGAACCUUGGUGUAGGGCUGAGAGCCAAGGGGAUGAUUCGCCUUCUCAGGAGAAGGGAAAUCUUCAGAUGUGACCUGGCUGGGGUGAUGUCUCAGAGGACACGGGACCAGGAGGAACUUGGCCAGGGAAUUGGGGAGCUCCCAGAUGGAGCAGAUUUCUCCUUCCUGCUGUCAGGGGCUGGCGAGCAGUCUGGGAUGUCAGGCUCCAGCGACCAGAAAUGACGCCCUCGGCCUUCUUUCCCGACCCGCGUCCCUCACUCAGAUUGCCACGUAGGAGGAGUUAUGAAACAAGCAAACAUGGUGGAAAGGUAAGACAGUGAUCACCAGGUCACUGAACCCAACAGCCACAAAUCCCACUGACGUGCAGAAGUCCGGGUACACGCACACAUUUUUGAAAAAAAUCACUUUGGCAUGGCGUGGCUUUUCCCCACGUGACUACGCACCCUACAACGUGCCGGUGAACAGACUCUGAGCAACCAUGGAGCUUACAAACACAAGACAAAUAUUUGCAGAAGGCUAACACGAGCGACGCCCGGAAAAUUAAUUUUUUUAAGUAUUAUGGAUAAGCCUGUGUGGGGUUAUUGGAUGCUCAGUAAUGCUUUCCCAGGAUAUGGCAAUGAAACUUAUACUGCAAACCUGGCUGAAUGAAUGGUAGGGCAACUCUACAAGAGAAGGUCUACUGUGACACAAACGGACACAAGACCCCGCCGCGUCUUUUAGCAUCCGGUCAUCUUCCGUGAGUGCACAGCUGCUUUGUAGGCCAUGCUGGGGCACACCACUUCCCCCAGGAUCCGCUUCAAGUGCAGCCUGUGCUGUGGGGAGCUGGUUCUCUGGUACAUGUGAGUUCUCCAGAGAUGGUAAGUUACCAGCCACAGCCCCUGGAGGGCGGUGCCUCGGAGAACGAUACCCUGGAGGGUAGAACCCGGGCAGCCUGUGGCAUCCCGGAGGGCAGCAAACUGGGAGGGUCUCACCUGGACAGCACAGCACCGUGAUCCAGGUAUGGGCGAUGGGCAGAGGAGGGGCAGAGGAAAUGACUAGAUUUGGAUAUCUUAAGACCAUCAUCAGAAGAUGUGGGGACAAGACAAGGGAACUCUGGCUUCACAGUCCAUUGGGGGAGGGGAGACACAUCACCAAGUGGCAGGGAGUCAACCAUGCAGUCUCCUUGUAGGGACUCAGGAAAACGUUGAGGUUGCUCAGAGCAAGGGCUCUGCAUGUCACCGGGAGAGCUUUGGGUCGUAUUCCUCUGGCUUCUGAUCAGGGAAGUAAGUCAAAGUGGGGUGCGGGGAGGCUGGGCAGAGAUGCUGAUAAGGUGGCUAUGAAGGUGGCCUCGCCAGGGGCCCCUGUUGGGAGCUGCAGGGAAGUCACGGUUUGAGUACUGUCAACUUUCCAUUUCUUCAACAGGAGACAAAAUCUCCAAGAACACUAAUCACCAUUGCACCAUUCUGGCUGAAGUGCCUUGGUAUAGAUUUCUGAGAUCCUUAAGCUCAUAGGAUCCAGGGAAGAAACCAGAAGAAACCCACAGUACAAGGAGGCGGUGCGUGAUAGUUCCAGUGUUCACCACGGGGGCCUGGAUGUGCUGUCAGUAAUGAGUCCUAAAUGGGAAGAUUACAGGACAGCCCUACAAAGCAACAUGGACCCAAGUUUGGAUGAAUACCACCAGUUUUCUCUCUUCAUGCAUUUGGGCAUCUAUAACUCCGCCCCUCUCCUCUCCUCCUGGGCAUCUUCAUGCCUGGCUACAGUAGCGUCUCUCCAUCCCUGCAUUAGUCUCCUCUUUGAGUUGUGUCCUCCUUGUGGUGGUUUGAAUAAAAAUGUCACUCCAA